rnacentral:rRNA from 1 species
AACGAACGCUGGCGGCAUGCCUAACACAUGCAAGUCGAACGAGACCUUCGGGUCUAGUGGCGCACGGGUGCGUACCGCGUGGGAACCUGCCCUUAGGUUCGGAAUAACUCACCGAAAGGGGUGCUAAUAACGGAUAAUGUCUUAGGACCAAAGAUUUAUCGCCUUUGGAUGGGCCCGCGUUGGAUUAGCUAGUUGGUAGGGUAAAAGCCUACCAAGGCGACGAUCCAUAGCUGGUCUGAGAGGAUGAUCAGCCACACUGGGACUGAGACACGGCCCAGACUCCUACGGGAGGGAGCAGUGGGGAAUAUUGUACAAUGGGCGAAAGCCUGAUCCAGUAAUGCCGCGUGAGUGAUGAAGGCCUUAGGGUUGUAAAGCUCUUUUACCCGGGAUGAUAAUGACAGUACCGGGAGAAUAAGCACCGGCUAACUCCGUG